rnacentral:ncRNA from 1 species
UUUCUUCUAGUCAUAAACUAUAAAAACCUGCCAGAAGAAUAAAGAAAAUUUAGUAACAAAAAUCAAAAUAAAAUUUAAAUUGCAAUAAAAUAAAUGGCUAGAGUAAUAGAAAUUAAGCGUUCCUAAUAUCUUAGUUCCCCAGAAACGGCAUCAAAAACUUGAUUGAUACAAAUCACAAUAAGUUUUAAAUUUAAGAUUGAUCAUAGUUUAUAGCGCACCUAUCGAAUAGUAGUAUAGUUUAUAGCAAGACCGGAAUGUCGAACCUACAGGAACUAAAAGUACUAGUAUUAACUCUCUUUUUAUUAUCUAGCCUAAAAAUAAAGGGGUUUGUUUUAUCUAAAUUAAUUAACUAAACUAAGAAUGUACAGGAAGAAAAUUGGGGAAAUACUUUUGGGAAAAAACUGAUUGAUUUGGACAAUACCCAAGGAAAAAUCCAGUUAGACUUCACUUAUUACUUGACUCUGAAUCAGACGAUUUAUUCACUAGACUUGAUCCUUAAAAAUCCCUAAUUUAUAUUAUUAUCUCUCUCGACACUAACAACAUCUAACCCUAGGUUGAUUAAUUGAAAUCUCUAUAACCUUGGGAAAAGGAUUGGCUCUGAGGGCUAGGCACGGGGGUCCCAGUCCUGAACCCGUUGGCUACCGGUGCACUACUAGAGCUGCUUCCGCGGGGAGAGCUGGUCGCCGCGUACCGACUGAGGGACGGACUGGGAACAGCUCCUUUGGAGGCCUUCCUCGGGCGACGAGCAGUCAACUCAGAACUAGUACAGACAAGGGGAAUACGACUGUUUAAUUAAAACAAAGCAUUGCGAUGGUCUCUGCGGAUGCUCACGCAAUGCGAUUUCUGCCCAGUGCUCUGAAUGUCAAAGUGAAGAAAUUCAACCAAGUGCGGGUAAACAGCGGGAAUAACUAUGACUCUCUUAAGGUAGCCAACUGCCUCGUCAUCUAAUUAGUGACGCGCAUGAAUGGAUUAAUGAGAUUCCUAUUGUCUAGGUCUACUAUCCCGCGAAACCAUAGCCAAGGGAACGGGCUUGGUAGAAUCAGUGGGGAAAGAAGACUCGGUUGAGCUUGACUCUAGUCCGACUUUGUGAAAUGACUUGAGAGGUGUAGGAUAAGUGGGAGCUCUCGGGCGAAAUUGAAAUACCACUACUUUUAACGUUAUUUUACUUAUUCCGUAAAUUAGAGGCGGGGCACGACCUCUCUUUUUGGACCCAAGGUUGGCUUCGGUCGGCUGAUCCGGGCGGAAGAUAUUGUCAGGUGGAGAGUUUGGCUGGGGUGGCACAUCUAUUAAAAGAUAACGCAGGUGUCCUAAGAUGAGCUCAUCGAUAACAGAAAUCUCAUGUGGAACAAAAGGGUAAAAGCUCGUUUGAUUCUGAUUUCCAGUACGAAUAUGAACCGUGGAAGCGUGGACUAUCGAUCCUUUAGACCUUCGGAAUUUGAAGCUAGAGGUGUCAGAAAAGUUACCACAAGGAUAACUGGCUUGUGGCAGCUAAGAGUUCAUAGCGACGUUGCUUUUCGAUCCUUCGAUGUCGGCUCUUCCUAUCAUUGUGGAGCAGAAUUCACCAAGUGUUGCAUGUCCAGUACCCAACAAUGAAUGAAUUGUCCCUGUCCCUCCCUUUUUGCAAUAAGAGCCUCCGGCACCUUUGGCCCCCGGUCGUGCGAUAGCCUCGUACACUAUCGGCAGCGUGUGCCAUCCCGUGGUGCGGGGCCAUCGUGCACCAUCGGCCCCUUUAAUGUGUCGGAGCAUUGGGCAACAUCGGUACCUUGGUGCAUCGGAUGUGCAGAAGGGUCGAGCACCAAAGCUAAUUUUGGGCCCCCGUUGGUGCAGAAGCUUCGGCACCAUAAAGUGUCCCUGUUUUAGACACAUGAAUGUCCCCUGGUAGCACAUUGACCAAGUUUUUUUAGCUCUUUAGGGGGGAGGUGAUUUUGAGGGGAAUAGGGGUUGUCCAAGGCACUGCCCACGCCCAUUUCAUGCCCAGACAUCGGUGCCCCCAUCGUCGGUUAGGUUUACGGCGGUGCUCCAGCGGUCUAUCCCGGUAGUGCUCUGGCGAGCCAUCUAGACGGUACUCCGGUGAGCCAUCCUAGAAUAUCAAAAAUGAUGCUUCAAGUCGUCCCAAUCCCUCCCUUUUUGAAUCAUCCAAGACCCUUUCCUUUUGGAAUAAGAGCCUCCGACACCUUCGGCCCUUGGUCGUGCCAGAGCAUCAGGCACCCUUGGUAACCUAGGACGUCGAUAGUGCGG